rnacentral:sRNA from 1 species
AUAGUUGAAGAAUGCUUUUCUGUUUACCUCUAUAUCUAUUUCAAAUUGCAUCUCAUUUCUUA